GACGAACGCUGGCGGCGUGCUUAACACAUGCAAGUCGAACGGAAAGGCCCUGCUUUUGUGGGGGGCUCGAGUGGCGAACGGGUGAGUAACACGUGAGUAACCUGCCCUUGACUUUGGGAUAACUUCAGGAAACUGGGGCUAAUACCGGAUAGGAGCUCCUGCUGCAUGGUGGGGGUUGGAAAGUUUCGGCGGUUGGGUAUGGACUCGCGGCUUAUCAGCUUGUUGGUGGGGUAGUGGCUUACCAAGGCUUUGACGGGUAGCCGGCCUGAGAGGGUGACCGGCCACAUUGGGACUGAGAUACGGCCCAGACUCCUACGGGAGGCAGCAGUGGGGAAUAUUGCACAAUGGGCGGAAGCCUGAUGCAGCAACGCCGCGUGCGGGAUGACGGCCUUCGGGUUGUAAACCGCUUUCGCCUGUGACGAAGCGUGAGUGACGGUGAUGGGUAAAGAAGCACCGGCUAACUACGUG
rnacentral:rRNA from 1 species